rnacentral:rRNA from 1 species
AGUCGAACGGCAGCACGGGAGCAAUCCCUGGUGGCGAGUGGCGAACGGGUGAGUAAUAUAUCGGAACGUGCCCAGUCGUGGGGGAUAACGCAGCGAAAGCUGUGCUAAUACCGCAUACGAUCUACGGAUGAAAGCGGGGGAUCGCAAGACCUCGCGCGAUUGGAGCGGCCGAUAUCAGAUUAGCUAGUUGGUGGGGUAAAAGCCCACCAAGGCGACGAUCUGUAGCUGGUCUGAGAGGACGACCAGCCACACUGGAACUGAGACACGGUCCAGACUCCUACGGGAGGCAGCAGUGGGGAAUUUUGGACAAUGGGCGCAAGCCUGAUCCAGCAAUGCCGCGUGCAGGAUGAAGGCCUUCGGGUUGUAAACUGCUUUUGUACGGAACGAAACGGUCCCUUCUAAUACAAGAGGCUAAUGACGGUACCGUAAGAAUAAGCACCGGCUAACUACGUGCCAGCAGCCGCGGUAAUACGUAGGGUGCGAGCGUUAAUCGGAAUUACUGGGCGUAAAGCGUGCGCAGGCGGUUAUAUAAGACAGAUGUGAAAUCCCCGGGCUCAACCUGGGACCUGCAUAUGUGACUGUAUAGCUAGAGUACGGUAGAGGGGGAUGGAAUUCCGCGUGUAGCAGUGAAAUGCGUAGAUAUGCGGAGGAACACCGAUGGCGAAAGCAAUCCCCUGGACCUGUACUGACGCUCAUGCACGAAAGCGUGGGGAGCAAACAGGAUUAGAUACCCUGGUAGUCCACGCCCUAAACGAUGUCAACUGGUUGUUGGGUCUUCACUGACUCAGUAACGAAGCUACGCGUGAAGUUGACCGCCUGGGGAGUACGGCCGCAAGUGAAACUCAAGGAAUUGACGGGGACCCGCACAGCGUGGAUGAUGUGGUUUAAUUCGAUGCACGCGAAAACCUUACCACCUUUGACAUGUACGGA